UACAGAGGGUGCGAGCGUUGUUCGGAAUUAUUGGGCGUAAAGGGCGCGUAGGCGGCGCACCAAGUCAGGCGUGAAAGCCCUGGGCUCAACCCGGGAAUUGCGCUUGAGACUGGUGUGCUCGAGUACGGGAGAGGAUAGUGGAAUUCCCAGUGUAGAGGUGAAAUGCGUAGAGAUCGGGAGGAACACCAGUGGCGAAGGCGGCUACCUGGACCAGCACUGACACUGAGGCACGAAAGCGUGGGGAGCAAACAGG
rnacentral:rRNA from 1 species